AUACGGAGGAUCCGAGCGUUAUCCGGAUUUACUGGGUUUAAAGGGUGCGCAGGCGGCCAUUUAAGUCAGCGGUUAAAUCGUGGGGCUCAACCCCAUUCUGCCGUUGAUACUGGGUGGCUUGAUUGCGGUCGAGGUUGGCGGAAUUCGUUGUGUAGCGGGGAAAUGCAUAGAUAUGACGAAGAACACCGAUUGCGUAGGCAGCUGACCAGACCGCAAAUGACGCUCAUGCACGAAAGUGCGGGGAUCGAACAGGAUUAGAUACCCUGGUAGUCCGCACAGUAAACGAUGAAUACUUGUUUUCGGCGAUAUAAUGUCGGAGGCAAAGCGAAAGCGAUAAGUAUUCCACCUGGGGAGUACGCCGGCAACGGUGAAACUCAAAUGAAUUGACGGGG
rnacentral:rRNA from 1 species